AGCGAACGCUGGCGGCAGGCCUAACACAUGCAAGUCGAACGAACCUUUCGGGGUUAGUGGCGGACGGGUGAGUAACACGUGGGAACGUGCCUUUGGGUCGGAAUAACCCAGGGGAAAUUGAUCUUAAACCGAAAGUGGCCCUCGGGGGGAAGGUUAAUUCCCUUUUGAGCGGCCCGCGUCUGAUUAGCUAGUUGGUUGGGGUAAUGGCUCACCAAGGCGACGAUCAGUAGCUGGUCUGAGAGGAUGAUCAGCCACAUUGGGACUGAGACACGGCCCAAACUCCUACGGGAGGCAGCAGUGGGGAAUCUUGCGCAAUGGGCGAAAGCCUGACGCAGCCAUGCCGCGUGAAUGAUGAAGGUCUUAGGAUUGUAAAAUUCUUUCACCGGGGACGAUAAUGACGGUACCCGGAGAAGAAGCCCCGGCUAACUUCGUG
rnacentral:rRNA from 1 species